UUCUUACUCCCUCCGCCUGGAAUUACUUGUCGGAGAAAUGGAUGUAUCUGCACAUAUUUUAGUUCUAGAUAUUCAUAUUUACCAAUUUCAGUGACAAGUAUUUCCGUCGGAGGGAGUAUUUA
rnacentral:pre_miRNA from 1 species